ensembl:ribozyme
CAUGCCUUGCCUGGAGGCAUUGUAGAAGCAUUUACAUUGCAGCCCCUGUCAGAUUCUUAUGAAUCUGCAAAUUCUGCU